CUCCACUGCCUGCAGAAGUGAUUGUCAUUGAUUUAGGAUUUCAUGGGUCCCUGGGGAAUGGCGAGGUCAUGAGUGAGCUCAUACUCUCCCAUACCCCCCUGCACCUCACCUCUGCCGACCCCCUUACCCGCUCGUGGUUUUUCUCCUUCAGGUCUUGGCAGGUAUUUUGUCAGGCUGAUCUUAAUCAGAUCACUGUGUAAUUACAGAGGGGCUGUCAGGAUAUUUUUGGUUGUCAUCUUCUAACAAAAUGCAGAUUGCAUGGCAUGUAUACAUAGAAUUACCCUGUAAUUCAAAGUAAAUUGACAUUUAAUUUCAAUCUAAUUACACAGAAAUUACAGACAUGGCAGAUACAGUCUAAUUAGGAAGCAAAGUAUAAGAAUCUGUUUAUGAAAUGGAGACUCAUAUCAUGUCACACUUCUAACAGAAUCAAAAUAAUUUCUCUGCCUUUUCGUAGAGGCUAGGUAAUCCCAACAACAACAGCAGUAAUAAUGCGAGCUACAGUUCUGACCUGUCCACCACGUACACAUACUUUAUUUCGUGCAAUAUUGGAGAUGACUCUGUGAGGCCGACGUGGUCGUUGCCAUGGCGCACGUGAAACUGACGGGUGAAGUUAGGAAGCGUGUGCUCAGUGUCACACACUAGUCAGUGGUCAAGGUGAGAUGAAGUUCAGUUGCUGUGGACUGUGAGGCAUAGGAAGAAUGCUGUCCCUUCUAGGGAGGGGAGAGGGGGGCCUGGGAGGAAUGCUCAGCCCUGGACUCCAGUACCUGAGCUCUUUGAGUUCUUUACCUGGAAAGCUGGACGUUUAUCUCCCUUCCUUUCCCUGCUCCCCCUUGCCUUUCCUCCUCCCUUUCCUCUUCCUCUCACUCAUAUUUUAAUUUAUUUUUCAAUUUGUGACUGCUCUGAGUCUUCACUGUUUCCUGCGGGCUUUCCCUAGUUGCAGAGAGUCAGGGCUGCUCUCUAGCUGUGGUACACAGCCUUCUCCUGGCGGGGGCUUCUCUCAUUGAGGGGCACAGACUCUCGGCACGUGGCCUUCGUAGUUGUGGAAUCGGAGCUCAGUUGCUCUGUGGCAUGUGGAAUCUUCCUGGAUGAGGGAUCGAGCCUGCGUCCCCUGCACUUUCAGCCAGAUUCUUAUCCACUGUACCUCCAGGAAAGUCCCAUCUCCUUCACUUAAUGCCUGCUUGCAGGCACCCACUCUGGUGGGUACCACUCUGGCUGUUGAACACUAAGUGCCAAGGGAAGCCAGUAAUGUUGUGGCCUCAUGGGUCACUCGGCUGUUCUGUCCCCUUCCAUCUAGGACAGCUUGAGCUGCUCACUCGGCAGCUGGAUGUGGAAUUGACCCGAACUGCCUGGCUGCUGGUGGUGCUCGGCCUUAUCAAGGUGUAACCAACCACAUGUGGACGGGCCAGAGCAGGCGUGUGGGGAGCGAGUGGGCACAAAGCCUAUUUUGUGUGCCGUAUUUACCCUUUGGACAUUUGCACUCAGACUUGAGUUCUAUCUCCUCUUCUCUCCUGGUGCAUCUUCACAUGGAAGCAAGUUUUGUUGUCUUGGGUUUUUUUGGGCCACAAUGUGUGACUUAUUGGAUCUUAGUUCCCCAACCAGGGAUCGAACCUACGCCCUCUGCAGUGAAAGCAUGGGGUCUUCACCAUUGGACCACCAGGGAAUUCCUGAGGUAAUUUUUGUUUGGUUUGAUUUUUUUUUUUUUUAAUUCCUCUGAUUCCCCUACCCUUGUGCAGAAUGAAUCACAACUCAGGGUGCGUCCUGCCUCUCCAAGCACCAGGCCCAUGUAGCUCCAGCCAUGGCAGAAUUUUCUUUCUUGCUGAUGAGCCAGUCUCCCUCAGUGUAAUUCCUUUUAUCUUCUCUUAUCCCUCUCUCAUCACUUGUUUAUUAUGGUCAUCCCUUAACAUGGGGAUAAUGCUUUACAGGGCUUCCCUGGAGGCUCAAAUGGUAAAGAAUCUUGCCUGAAGUGUGGGAGACUCUGGUUUGAUUCCUGGGCCGGGAAAAUCCCCAGAGAAGGGAAUGGCACCCUACUCCAGUAUUCUUGCCUGGAGAAUUCCAUGAACAGAGGGGUCUGGCAGGCUAUAGUCCAUAGGGUCGCAGAGUCAGAUACGACUGAGCGAUAACACACACAGUACUUUCAAUUUGUAAUUUUCCCUUACCAAUUGUCACUUGAUCCUUAACCAAAAAUCUGUGAAUUGUUAGUAUGUUUAUCAUAUCCAGCUGAGCGAUGGGUACACCAGUCACUACACACUCCUCACCUCCUGUGGCCUCAGACUCAGCUCUUCAGGGUUGAACACCAACAUUUUUUCUCAGGACAACAGCUGCUUGUCUUUCACUGAAGGCUCUUUCCCUUUUCCCCCUCUUACCCCAAAUGCAAUCAUUAAUGUAUCAGUUACACAAUUAUGUAUUUAAUUUUUCUUUAAAUUGAUUUAAAAAAUGCUUGAGUGCACUUCUUCUUUUUUAUCUUUUGACCACUUUUCUUGGCAUGCAGGGUAUUAGUUCCCAGGCCAGGAAUCAAACCUAUGCCACCCACAGUGGCAGUGUGGAGUCUUAUAACCACCGGACCACCGAGGAAGUCCAGAAUGCCUUUAUUUUUAAAGAUCGCUUUGUAUGACUGCUUCACAUGUUCCACCAGCACCACCUGAUAGAAAGUGAAGUUUCAGAUUUUAAAGUAAAGAAAAGAGGUGCCCAGGAAAAGAUACUUCUCUUUGUUAAAUGCACCAACUCUCAACACAGCCAGAGAGUUGCUCACAUCUGAGGCAUGGCUGCAAUUGUCAUUCUUGUAAGGCUCACUCUUGCACAAUUGCCUUCUUAGCAUCAUGGAAAUGAAAUCUAGGGGGAAGGAAGCCCCUUCUACAAAAAAUAAGCUUAGAAUUCAUCUUCCACCUGCAGGAGAAGAAAAUCAAAGAAUGUAUUGCUUUACCUUUGCCUUUUCAUCAAUUUAAGAAGACUGUAGACAGACAAGAGAUCCAAACAUGCAAAGGGGUGAGCUAAUCAAUAAGAGAUCAGAAGCAGUAGAAACUCCACACAGGGAUGGGGGCGUGUGUAGUGGGGAGCAUGGGGCAGAAGAACAGGGAUGCUCUAAAGAGACCAUUUUUCAGGAAGCAGCUAAAGGAGAGAGCAUUUCCAUAAAGGAGAAAACUAGUCUCCAGGUCAUGCACUCCCUGCUUUUGGGAUUAGGAGAGAAAUCUAUCCGUCUUGCCAACGGUGCUGUCAAUCCUAUUUACUUUUGUGCUGGGCGUGGGGGGUUGGGGAGGAGAGAGGGCGAAGCACCUCCCCUUUCUGAUGCUGUUGGAUACUAAAGGGUCAGCUUGUUUGCAAAUGAGCAGUGCUGGGAAGACUAAAAACUCAUGGUGGUGGUUCUCUUAUCAGCAAAACUGUCAUGUCUGUAUAUUUUUAUUGUAUUUCAGUGACCCGCCUUGCUUAGCCCCUUUACAAUCUUGUUCUAUGGCUGGGUUACCCAGAAGAGAAGAUGGCCCAUUUUCUCUGAAUCCGAAACUUGCCACUCCGUGUUGCAACCCUCUUCAGAAAAUAUAUUCAAGCCUUGUCCUAGGCAUGUAAGACAAGAGGUCAGGGGAACAGGCUCAGGCAACUGCUGAGACAGGCAGGUAGGUCCCUGAGGCAGGCUUCCAGCCAGGAGAGGAAGUGUCUGAGAGGAGAGAACAGAAGUGGUUUCUGAGAACUGAACGCUGUUUACUUGAACGACCUGCUUUCUAGGAACCCCUCCGUCCAGCUGGUGCGUCCCAGGGAGUGAACAGCUUGUGUGUGUGUGUGCAUAUGUGUGUUUGUAUAUGCAGACCUUGGCGUGCAUGCAUGUGUAAGCGUGCGCAUGUGGGUGCCGGUGUGUGUACUUCGAGGAUUUGCCUGCGUGAAUAUGUGUGUAAGUGUGUGCAUGCAUCGGUGUUUGCAUCUGUGUCAUGGUGCUGUGUGAACAGAAGCAGGGAGGAAAGCUCUCUUUCUGCUUGUCUUUGACUCAGUCACUUCUUUGGCUGCAAAGUUAACAUCUGGUGUGAUGCUUAUUCUAAAGUUUAACUCAGGUCCACAUUCACAGAAUUAGAGGGAUGACAGGAAGAAAAAAGAUUAACAGGUUUGGUAGCAGGUAAGUUGUUAUGACUAUAUUCUGUAAACAUGAAACUUUCCUAUUGAAACAAUUCUGAAUUAGUUGCGGGUUUCCCAGGUGGCACUAGGGGUAAAGAACCUGUCUGCAAUGCAGGAGCCAUAAGAGAUGUGGGUUCGAUCCCUGGGUCAGGAAGAUCCUGUGGAGAAGGGCAUGGCAACCCACUCCAGUAUUCUUGCCUGGAGAAUUCUGUGGACAGAGAAGCCUGGUGGGCUACAGUCCACGGGAAUGCAAAAAGUCAGACAUGACUGAGCGACUUAGUGCACACACACCCCCCCCAACAAGCACAUUAUACAGUCUUAAGGGAAAAGGUUCAUGAAGAAUCUUUUCAGGGGUGAGAGAUGCUCUAUGAGUAGCUGGUAUUGAUUAGCAAACGGUGGCCUGGAGGGUUGGGGGCUUACAUGGCCGUGCGAGCACAGUUCUUGCUGAGAGAUGAUGAACAGUUCUUCCUGAGAGGGUGGCUGGUGCUAGGCUACAGCACGGUGUUGGGGGAGAUUGCACAGCUCGGGAUUUAGAGCCUGGGUUUUACUUCAGGGGGGUGGGAUUGGAAUCCCUAGCUCCAUCUUUUACUUGCAGUGGGACUUGGGACAAGUUACUAACCUUCCUGAACCUCGACUUCUUCAUCUCUAGAGUGGAGAUAAUGGUACCAUUCUCUCAGUGGGACUUCCCAGAAAUCAGAUGAGAAGCAUCAGGCUUCAUGAGAUGUCUUCUCUGUUCACUUAGGAAUUCUAUCCCGAGAACAUCCCUCCAGCUAAAAUGGCAGUGGAUCUAAGACUGGGAAAUGACUGCCUUUGAGGUUCCUCUGGAGAGGUGCUGGAACCAGUGUUUAAAAUGUGAAAGACCACUGCAUCCAGAUGUUAGAGCGGUACUGACAACAAGAAGAAAAGGCUCAUUUCCUUCCUCACCUAUGAAACCAUUCUAUCUGCAGGACUUCAAAC
ensembl:lncRNA